GAUGAAGAACGUAGCGAAAUGCGAUAAGUAAUGCGAAUUGCAGAAUCCGUGAGUCAUCGAAUCUUUGAACGCACAUUGCGCCCCCUGGUAUUCCGGGGGGCAUGCCUGUCCGAGCGUCAUUGCUGCCCUCAAGCACGGCUUGUGUGUUGGGCCUCCGUCCUCCUCCCGGGGGACGGGCCCGAAAGGCAGCGGCGGCACCGCGUCCGGUCCUCGAGCGUAUGGGGCUUCGUCACCCGCUCUUGUAGGCCCGGCCGGCGCUUGCCGACACAUCAAUCUUUUUUCCAGGUUGACCUCGGAUCAGGUAGGGAUACCCGCUGAACUUAAGCAUAUCAAUAAGCGGAGGA
rnacentral:misc_RNA from 1 species